UUAUUAUUUUUAUAAUUAAUAAUUUCUAAUAAAAAUUUAAUUUUAAUAAUAAUAAUCACUAUGAUUUGUCAGAGUUCAGUUACAAUACUAUCACUACUGCCACCAAACAAUUAGUGCUAGCUAUUAAAUUUUUUCACCGUUAGACCUAUUAUUUUGAUCAUUGCUAUCUAUUACAUCAAACUAUUCAACCAAUUACACGCUCACCUUAGAAAAAUAAUUAUCAUCCUAAUCGUACAUUCCUUAAUUCAAUGACGAAAAACCUACAAAUACUAAUUGCUUGUUGUUUUUUUGAUAGAAAGAUCGCAUGCUAUCCGCUUCGUUUAUUUCAUUUAGAAAUAAACUUAGCUGAAAAUGUGAAUCAACUAGGAUUCGAACUUAGAUCUCGGUACCAAGCACCAAGCCCUUUGCCACUUGCGCUAGGCACGGUCAGUAAUACCAAUUGUUUGUCACUAUCAAUAAUAUAGUAGCUUAAUUAGUUCUGAUUUAUGAUAUCUAAAUUAACGGGCUAUGUGUAGAAAAAUUUUGUAGUCCGAAAA
rnacentral:lncRNA from 1 species